AUUGCCAUUGAUACUGUUGGACUUGAGUAUGGAUGAGGUAUGCGGAAUGUGUAGUGUAGCGGUGAAAUGCAUAGAUAUUACACAGAACACCGAUUGCGAAGGCAGCAUACUGGGCCAUUACUGACGCUGAGGCACGAAAGCGUGGGGAUCAAACAGGAUUAGAUACCCUGGUAGUCCACGCUGUAAACGAUGAUCACUCGCUGUUUGCGAUAUACAGCAAGCGGCUGAGCGAAAGCAAUAAGUGAUCCACCUGGGGAGUACGAUCGCAAGGUUGAAACUCAAAGGAAUUGACGGGGGCCCGCACAAGCGGAGGAACAUGUGGUUUAAUUCGAUGAUACGCGAGGAACCUUACCUGGGCUUAAAUGGGGAGUGAUGUUAUCAGAGAUGGUAAUUUCUUCGGACACUCUUCAAGGUGCUGCAUGGUUGUCGUCAGCUCGUGCCGUGAGGUGUCGGGUUAAGUCCCAUAACGAGCGCAACCCUUACUGUUAGUUGCCAACGGGUCAAGCCGGGGACUCUAGCGGGACUGCCACCGUAACGUGAGAGGAAUGUGGGGGAUGACGUCAAAUCAGCACGGCCCUUAUGUCCAGGGCUACACACGUGUUACAAUGGACCGGUACAGAGGGCAGCUACACCUGCGAAGUUGAUGCGAAUCCUGAAGGCUGGUCUCAGUUCGGAUCGGAGUCUGCACCCGA
rnacentral:rRNA from 1 species